CCGGGUUGCGGACAGUGUCUGGUGGGUAGUUUGACUGGGGCGGUCUCCUCCUAAAGAGUAACGGAGGAGCACGAAGGUUGGCUAAUCCUGGUCGGACAUCAGGAGGUUAGUGCAAUGGCAUAAGCCAGCUUGACUGCGAGCGUGACGGCGCGAGCAGGUGCGAAAGCAGGUCAUAGUGAUCCGGUGGUUCUGAAUGGAAGGGCCAUCGCUCAACGGAUAAAAGGUACUCCGGGGAUAACAGGCUGAUACCGCCCAAGAGUUCAUAUCGACGGCGGUGUUUGGCACCUCGAUGUCGGCUCAUCACAUCCUGGGGCUGAAGUAGGUCCCAAGGGUAUGGCUGUUCGCCAUUUAAAGUGGUACGCGAGCUGGGUUUAGAACGUCGUGAGACAGUUCGGUCCCUAUCUGCCGUGGGCGCUGGAGAACUGAGGGGGGCUGCUCCUAGUACGAGAGGACCGGAGUGGACGCAUCACUGGUGUUCGGGUUGUCAUGCCAAUGGCACUGCCCGGUAGCUAAAUGCGGAAGAGAUAAGUGCUGAAAGCAUCUAAGCACGAAACUUGCCCCGAGAUGAGUUCUCCCUGAGACUUUA
rnacentral:rRNA from 1 species